UAGGGAAUCUUCCGCAAUGGGCGAAAGCCUGACGGAGCGACACCGCGUGGAGGACGACGGCCUUCGGGUUGUAAACUCCUUUUCUCGAGGAAGAAAAUUUGACGGUACUCGAGGAAUAAGCCCCGGCCAAUUACGUGCCAGCAGCCGCGGUAAUACGUAAGGGGCAAGCGUUAUCCGGAAUUAUUGGGCGUAAAGCGUCCGCAGGUGGUUAUGCAAGUCUGUCAUUAAAUACCGACACUCAAUAUCGGAAUAGUGAUGGAAACUGUGUAACUAGAGGAUGGGAGAGGUAUAUGGAAUUGUGCAAGUAGGGGUAAAAUCCGUAGAUAUGCACAGGAACACCAAAAGCGAAGGCAAUAUACUGGACCAUUCCUGACACUCAGGGACGAAAGCGUGGGGAGCAAAACGG
rnacentral:rRNA from 1 species